rnacentral:rRNA from 1 species
UACGUAGGGUGCAAGCGUUAUUCGGAAUUACUGGGCGUAAAGCGUGUGCAGGCGGUUAUUUAAGUCAGGUGUGAAAUCCCCGGGCUUAACCUGGGAACUGCAUUUGUGACUGCAUAGCUAGAGUACGGUAGAGGGGGAUGGAAUUCCGCGUGUAGCAGUGAAAUGCGUAGAUAUGCGGAGGAACACCGAUGGCGAAGGCAAUCCCCUGGACCUGUACUGACGCUCAUGCACGAAAGCGUGGGGAGCAAACAGG